CACGGAACUUCGGUCUGGUGGCGAGUGGCGAACGGGUGAGUAAUGUAUCGGAACGUACCUUUCAGUGGGGGAUAACGUAGCGAAAGUUACGCUAAUACCGCAUAUUCUGUGAGCAGGAAAGCAGGGGAUCGCAAGACCUUGCGCUGAUUGAGCGGCCGAUAUCAGAUUAGCUAGUUGGUGGGGUAAAGGCCUACCAAGGCUACGAUCUGUAGCGGGUCUGAGAGGAUGAUCCGCCACACUGGAACUGAGACACGGUCCAGACUCCUACGGGAGGCAGCAGUGGGGAAUUUUGGACAAUGGGGGCAACCCUGAUCCAGCCAUGCCGCGUGAGUGAAGAAGGCCUUCGGGUUGUAAAGCUCUUUCGGCCGGGAAGAAAUCGCAUCAGCUAAUACCUGGUGUGGAUGACGGUACCGGAAUAAGAAGCACCGGCUAACUACGUGCCAGCAGCCGCGGUAAUACGUAGGGUGCGAGCGUUAAUCGGAAUUACUGGGCGUAAAGCGUGCGCAGGCGGUUGUGU
rnacentral:rRNA from 1 species